rnacentral:lncRNA from 12 species
AUCCAGGUGCUUUUUGCCCUGAUCCACCUCGGACUCCCUCUCCCGCUAUUGCUGGAGAGGCUGCCUUCAGAAGGAGCUACGUCUGAAAGUGACCUUGCUCAGCAAAUGCCGAUUGGCUUAUGCAGAAAUCCUUUCCCAGAAGAGGUGGAUGGACUGCCAUCGGCUCCUCCACCGACCAAGAGAGAGGAGUGAAGAGAAAG